rnacentral:rRNA from 1 species
UACGUAGGGGGCGAGCGUUAUCCGGAAUCACUGGGCGUAAAGGGUGCGUAGGCGGCCGAGUAAGCCAGAGGUGAAAGGCUACGGCUUAACCGUAGUAAGCCUUUGGAACUACUUGGCUUGAGUGCAGGAGAGGAGAGUGGAAUUCCUAGUGUAGCGGUGAAAUGCGUAGAUAUUAGGAGGAACACCAGUGGCGAAGGCGACUCUCUGGACUGUAACUGACGCUGAGGCACGAAAGCGUGGGGAGC